rnacentral:rRNA from 1 species
AGAGCGAACGCUGGCGGCAGGCCUAAUACAUGCAAGUCGAACGGAUCCUUCGGGAUUAGUGGCGGACGGGUGAGUAACACGUGGGAACGUGCCCUUUGGUUCGGAACAACUCAGGGAAACUUGAGCUAAUACCGAAUGUGCCCUUCGGGGGAAAGAUUUAUCGCCAUUGGAGCGGCCCGCGUCUGAUUAGCUAGUUGGUGAGGUAAAGGCUCACCAAGGCGACGAUCAGUAGCUGGUCUGAGAGGAUGAUCAGCCACACUGGGACUGAGACACGGCCCAGACUCCUACGGGAGGCAGCAGUAGGGAAUCUUGCGCAAUGGGCGAAAGCCUGACGCAGCCAUGCCGCGUGCGGGAAGAAGGCCUUCGGGUUGUAAACCGCUUUUGUCAGGGAAGAAACGCUCCAGAUUAAUACCUUGGAGUAAUGACGGUACCUGAAGAAUAAGCACCGGCUAACUACGUGCCAGCAGCCGCGGUAA